UGUUAGUAUUAGGUGUACCAUUAGGAUCAGUAUUAGUAUUAUCAGGUAGUAGAUGUCGUAUUAGGAUCAGGAAGCGCCCCAGGCAACUGCCGCCUUUCCUCGUCCGGGCUCUUGUGGCCUGGCGAGGGAUUGCGCGCUUCUCCGGGGGCGCUCUUUCGAGACAAAAGUUUGGCGUCCCGGCUGCAAAUGGCGGCCGGAGUUGUGGGGCGACCCUAUGGAAGGAGUGGCGGGCUCUGCUGGCGAGCUAAGGAAGAGCAUCAAUAAAGC